CCUGGUUCCUCCCAUUGACCAAACUCACCUGAAAACCAGCUGUUAGAGGAAGCUGGGUGAUCUUAGGCAUCAGCCUUCGGAGAUACAAAUAUGGUGAAAAAGGACCAAGACAGACCUGGAAUGGGACACAUCAGCACAAUGAAAUAUUAGGACUUAGAAACCAGACUUCUGACCCUUGCUACGUUAUCAAAAUGUCUUCUGUCUCCACAUUUGCUUGCAGGAGGAGAACGAGAAGAGCAAGACAGGAGCCCAGGGUCUGCCAGAAAAAGCUCUUGGCAGAAUCCUCCCGUAUCAG